UCUCCGUAGGUGAACCUGCGGAGGGAUCAUUACAGAGUUCAUGCCCUACCGGGUAGAUCUCCCACCCUAUGUUAUUAUUACUUUGUUGCUUUGGCGGGCCGUUAGGCUCCGGCCCGACUACCGGCCCCGGCUGGUAAGCGCCCGCCAGAGGACCCAAAACCCUGAAUAUUAGUGUCGUCUGAGUACUAUAUAAUAGUUAAAACUUUCAACAGCGGAUCUCUUGGUUCUGGUAUCGAUGAAGAACGCAGC
rnacentral:misc_RNA from 1 species